AAAACAAGGAAACAUCAACUGACAAACUGCAAAAAUAACUUCUCGCGCUGUUGAUUUCGCUGCUUUCAGAAAUGGUUUUGUGUCUUCGAAAAAGUCCGUUAGCAUCACAUCCGUUUUAAGAAGAGAAGAUCUUGCUGGUGGCCUGUUGCACCCCCUGUCCAAGAAAAUCUCCACGGCUAUGAACUCAAC